UGGCUCAGUGGUUAAGAGCACUGACUAUUCUUCCAGAGAACCUGGGUUCAAUUCCCAG
rnacentral:tRNA from 1 species